UCUUGACUAGUAUAUCGGUUAGUACACGCGCUUGUCAUAUCCUCCAGAUCAUAACUUCGCGCGAAAGCUGGGUUCGAUUCCCAGGUCGAGAG